AUAUUCCACAAGCUGAAAUUUUAAGGGGGCGGAGUUUCCAGAAGAGAUCCAGCGCCCUCUCCGUCCCCAUCUGAAACUUACAAACUCUGAAGCCACCAAGGACAGUUGUCCACACCAAACCCCCACCCUGGCCCUGGACCUACCAGAAAGCAGCUGGAUGAAUCCGCAAGACUUUGCCUCCCUGCUCACCUCCUCAUGCUUGGGAUGGGUUCUCUCUGAGCCUAUACUCUGCCUGUUGGGUUGAAUUGAAUUCGUUUGCCACGUGGAGAGGCCGGACUGCUACUGUGUACACGCUGCUUGGCUUCCAGAGUGGACACGAUGGAGUUUGGUGGUGACUAUGGACACCACCCCAAAGUUCAGCUCUCGAGAGCUGGUCGUAGAUGCCGUCCCCACUGGAAGUUCUCUAAAUGAGUCCAGAGAAUCACGAUAAUGAGCAACGUUGAAAUUAGAGGUUAAAGCAAUUCACAUAAAGAAACGUUAACUUCACACCCACCAGGAUGGCUGUGAUCAAAGAAAUGGAAAAUAAAUAUUGGUGAAGAUGUGAACAAACCGGAACCCUUGUUCAGAGCUGGUGCAAACGUAACAUGGUGCAGCCACUAAGGAAAACAGGUUGGUGGCUCCUCAAAAAGCUAAACAUAAAA